rnacentral:rRNA from 1 species
CCUACGGGAGGCAGCAGUGAGGAAUAUUGGUCAAUGGGCGGAAGCCUGAACCAGCCAAGUAGCGUGCAGGAUGACGGCCCUACGGGUUGUAAACUGCUUUUAUACGGGAAUAACGCGCCUUACGUGUAGGGCUUUGCAUGUACCGUAUGAAUAAGGACCGGCUAAUUCCGUGCCAGCAGCCGCGGUAAUACGGAAGGUCCGGGCGUUAUCCGGAUUGAUUGGGUUUAAAGGGAGCGUAGGCCGCAUGUCAAGCGUGCUGUGAAGUGUCCGGGCUCAACCCGGGCCUUGCAGCGCGAACUGGCGGGCUUGAGUCCGCGGAAAGCAGGCGGAAUUCGUGGUGUAGCGGUGAAAUGCGUAGAUAUGACGAAGAACCCCGAUGGCGAAGGCAGCCUGCUGCAGCGGAACUGACGCUGAUGCUCGAAAGCGCGGGUAUCGAACAGGAUUAGAUACCCCAGUAGUC